rnacentral:rRNA from 17 species
GCCCGAGUAAACGGCGGCCGUAACGAUAACGGUCCUAAGGUAGCGAAAUUCCUUGUCGGGUAAGUUCCGACCUGCACGAAUGGCAUAAUGAUGGCGGCGCUGUCUCCAGCAGAGACUCAGUGAAAUCGAAAUCGCCGUGAAGAUGCGGUGUACCCGCGGCUAGACGGAAAGACCCCGUGAACCUUUACUGCAGCUUGACAUUGAACUUUGAUCUUACUUGUGUAGGAUAGGUGGGAGGCUU